rnacentral:sRNA from 1 species
GCCUAGCCCCGAUAGCAGCGGAAAUCCUUUUUAUGGCGCAGCGCAGCGGAUCCAUAAAAAGAUUGCAGCGGAUAGCGGGAAAAAGC